rnacentral:rRNA from 1 species
AGUGAACGCUGGCGGUAGGCCUAACACAUGCAAGUCGAACGGCAGCACAGUAAUAGCUUGCUCUUACGGGUGGCGAGUGGCGGACGGGUGAGGAAUACAUCGGAAUCUACUUUUUCGUGGGGGAUAACGUAGGGAAACUUACGCUAAUACCGCAUACGACCUACGGGUGAAAGCAGGGGAUCUUCGGACCUUGCGCGAUUGAAUGAGCCGAUGUCGGAUUAGCUAGUUGGCGGGGUAAAGGCCCACCAAGGCGACGAUCCGUAGCUGGUCUGAGAGGAUGAUCAGCCACACUGGAACUGAGACACGGUCCAGACUCCUACGGGAGGCAGAAGUGGGGAAUAUUGGAAAAUGGGCGCAAUCCUGAUCCAGCCAUACCGCGUGGGUGAAGAAGGCCUUCGGGUUGUAAAGCCCUUUUGUUGGGAAAGAAAAGCAGCAGGUUAAUACCCCGCUGUUCUGACGGUACCCAAAGAAUAAGCACCGGCUAACUUCGUG